rnacentral:rRNA from 1 species
AGGGUGUAAACGCUGCAGACUUGGUGUUGGAAGUCCUUUGGGGGCAUUCAGUGCCGGAGAGAAGUUGUUAAGUCUGCUACUUGGGAGUACGUCCGCAAGGAUGAAACUUAAAGGAAUUGGCGGGGGAGCACCGCAACGGGAGGAGCGUGCGGUUUAAUUGGAUUCAACACCGGAAAACUCACCAGGGGAGACCGUUACAUGAAACCCAGACUAAUGAUCUUGGUUGAUUUUUCAGAGAGGAGGUGCAUGGCGUCAGUGACU